CAAAGGGGUGAAGAAUGAAGGAGACUGGACUUUGAGCGGUAAAGCGAUGGCAAGAUCAGAGCGUGAUCUUCAAUAGACGCCAUGAAAUCAGUUAAGGAGUAGUGACAAGGGAAGGUCAUAGCUGCUGGGAAAGUCCAGAGUCAAGAUUGUGAAGCCAGCUGUGGUAGCACAGGCCCAGAAGGAAUUCCAGCAUUUGGGAGGCUGAGAUGCUGUGGGUUCUUCUUCUCAUCACAAUAACAUGUCCCCAAGUUUCCUGGAAUUAUGGGGCCAAAAUUUGGAUGCCUUAUUUGGUUGAUUAGCUCAAGAGCACCCUCUUCUGUUGGUACAAGAACCUAGCAUCAGAUCUUACCAGGGAUUUGCGGUCCCGCCGGUAAAGACUGACUGGUUAAGUGAUUCUGGACCAACCUCUGCCCUGCUGUUUCUUUCCUCUCUGCUUCCCCUGUGGGAGUCUAGUUCUGAACUGAAGAUUUUACUACUAACAGACAAUGAAAAGAGCCUGGUGAGAUAGUACAACAGUGAAGAAGUCAAGCUGGAUGAUCUGAGUUCGAGCCCCAGGAUGCACAUGGUGGUUAGAAGGAAUCAACUGCCUGCUACACAUUGACUUCUGAUCUCCAUGCAUACACU